UACGUAGGGGCCUAGCGUUGUCCGGAAUUAUUGGGCGUAAAGAGCUCGUAGGCGGUUUGUCGCGUCUGCUGUGAAAUCCCGAGGCUCAACCUCGGGCCUGCAGUGGGUACGGGCAGACUGGAGUGCGGGUAGGGGAGAAUGGAAUUCCUGGUGUAGCGGUGAAAUGCGCAGAUAUCAGGAGGAACACCGGUGGCGAAGGCGGGUCUCUGGGCCGUAACUGACGCUGAGGAGCGAAAGCAUGGGGAGCGAACAGG
rnacentral:rRNA from 1 species